AGUAACACGUGGGUAACCUGCCCAUAAGACUGGGAUAACUCCGGGAAACCGGGGCUAAUACCGGAUAACAUUUUGAACCGCAUGGUUCGAAAUUGAAAGGCGGCUUCGGCUGUCACUUAUGGAUGGACCCGCGUCGCAUUAGCUAGUUGGUGAGGUAACGGCUCACCAAGGCAACGAUGCGUAGCCAACCUGAGAGGGUGAUCGGCCACACUGGGACUGAGACACGGCCCAGACUCCUACGGGAGGCAGCAGUAGGGAAUCUUCCGCAAUGGACGAAAGUCUGACGGAGCAACGCCGCGUGAGUGAUGAAGGCUUUCGGGUCGUAAAACUCUGUUGUUAGGGGAAGAACAAGUGCUAGUUGAAUAAGCUGGCACCUUGACGGUACCUAACCAGAAAGCCACGGCUAACUACGUGCCAGCGCCGCGGUAAUACGUAGGUGGCAAGCGUUAUCCGGAAUU
rnacentral:rRNA from 1 species